CUUAUACUCCCUCCGUCCGGAAAUACUCGUCGGAGAAAUGGAUAAAAAUGGAUGCAUCUAGAACUAAAAUAUGUCUAGAUACAUUCAUUUCUCCAACGAGUAUUUCCGGACGGAGGGAGUACUUG
rnacentral:pre_miRNA from 1 species